UGAAUUGUAAAUUAAGUAAGUAAAUAUAAACUACAAUUACAAGAUUGUCUAAACAUCCUAAGUUUCAUUUUUCACUUUCAAAUAGUACUUUGCCCACUGGUUGCGAAGUGCCUUCAAUCUUUCUGGUUCCAAUGGUCUAGGAUCAGUGAAAUACUGCAUGAUAUAAUAAAACAUAAGUUAAUAAUAUAUUAGCAAUCAUAAUAAUAUGAAAUUUGGUGAAUUAAAAAUUACCAUUUCCCAAUUAUUCUGGAAAUUUCCUAAGAUUAUAGUUGACAUCCAAUGCAUG
rnacentral:lncRNA from 1 species